AAACAGAAGGAGGUGCCCCCAUUGCUUUUCAAAGCGCACACAUGGCCUCGGACCAAGUUAUUUCUAAGGGUUUCUGCGGAGGAAGCCGGACGAGCAAAUUCCUUGACCAUAGGACAAGUCUCAGGAUUGGGGGAUAUUCGUCUUGCCCCUUUGCAUUUCAGAAAGGACCUCGCAAAUUGUAAGGUUCGAGGCUGGAACGUCUCAAAGAAGUACUAGAGAAGACUCUGAAAGCAAACUUCUUUCAGCUUAACAGAAAAACCGACCAAACUCGAGGAGAGAGCUUGUAAGGAAAUCGGACGGAAACAAGCGGGAGAAGGUGGUGAUAAAGGAGGUCUUCACAGAGCGCCUGCUGCAUGCCAGGUACUGCCACUGGGGUCUGGCCUCAUGGUCCAAUAACCGAACAGAAAAGGCACACAUCAAACAAAUAAGCCGGGAAACGUGGAAGACAGGAAAAAAGAACAAAGGGCGAGCAAAAUCACCCCUAAUCCCACAUCCCUGACGACACUGUGGGGUUUGUCCUUCCAGCUGUGGGAGUCCAAUUUCUUUCUUUCAUUUCUAAUGCUUUCCCUUUAU